rnacentral:rRNA from 1 species
GACAGAGGGUGCAAACGUUGUUCGGAAUUACUGGGCGUAAAGGGCUCGUAGGCGGCCCACUAAGUCCGACGUGAAAUCCCCAGGCUUAACUUGGGAACUGCGUCGGAUACUGGUGGGCUUGAAUCCGGGAGAGGGAUGCGGAAUUCCAGGUGUAGCGGUGAAAUGCGUAGAUAUCUGGAGGAACACCGGUGGCGAAGGCGGCAUCCUGGACCGGCAUUGACGCUGAGUGAGCGAAAGCCAGGGGAGCAAACGGG